rnacentral:rRNA from 1 species
AUUGAACGCUGGCGGCAGGCCUAACACAUGCAAGUCAAGCGGAUGAGAGGAGCUUGCUCCUCGAUUCAGCGGCGGACGGGUGAGUAAUGCCUAGGAAUCUGCCUAGUAGUGGGGGACAACGUUUCGAAAGGAACGCUAAUACCGCAUACGUCCAACGGGAGAAAGUGGGGGAUCUUCGGACCUCACGCUAUUAGAUGAGCCUAGGUCGGAUUAGCUAGUUGGUAGGGUAACGGCCUACCAAGGCGACGAUCCGUAACUGGUCUGAGAGGAUGAUCAGUCACACUGGAACUGAGACACGGUCCAGACUCCUACGGGAGGCAGCAGUGGGGAAUAUUGGACAAUGGGCGAAAGCCUGAUCCAGCCAUGCCGCGUGUGUGAAGAAGGCCCUCGGGUCGUAAAGCACUUUAAGUUGGGAGGAAGGGCUUACAGCGAAUACCUGUGAGUUUUGACGUUACCGACAGAAUAAGCACCGGCUAACUUCGUGCCAGCAGCCGCCGUAA